AGCGAACGCUGGCGGCAUGCCUAACACAUGCAAGUCGAACGAGACCUUCGGGUCUAGAGGCGCACGGGUGCGUAACGCGUGGGAACCUGCCCUUAGGUUCGGAAUAACUCCCCGAAAGGGGUGCUAAUACCGGAUAAUGUCUUCGGACCAAAGAUUUAUCGCCUUUGGAUGGGCCCGCGUUGGAUUAGCUAGUUGGUAGGGUAAAAGCCUACCAAGGCGACGAUCCAUAGCUGGUCUGAGAGGAUGAUCAGCCACACUGGGACUGAGACACGGCCCAGACUCCUACGGGAGGCAGCAGUGGGGAAUAUUGGACAAUGGGCGAAAGCCUGAUCCAGCAAUGCCGCGUGAGUGAUGAAGGCCUUAGGGUUGUAAAGCUCUUUUACCCGGGAUGAUAAUGACAGUACCGGGAGAAUAAGCUCCGGCUAACUCCGUG
rnacentral:rRNA from 1 species